rnacentral:rRNA from 1 species
AUUGAACGCUGGCGGCAUGCCUUACACAUGCAAGUCGAACGGUAACAGGUCUUCGGAUGCUGACGAGUGGCGAACGGGUGAGUAAUACAUCGGAACGUGCCUAGUAGUGGGGGAUAACUACUCGAAAGAGUGGCUAAUACCGCAUGAGAUCUACGGAUGAAAGCAGGGGAUCGCAAGACCUUGUGCUACUAGAGCGGCCGAUGGCAGAUUAGGUAGUUGGUGGGAUAAAAGCUUACCAAGCCGACGAUCUGUAGCUGGUCUGAGAGGACGAUCAGCCAAACUGGGACUGAGACACGGCCCAGACUCCUACGGGAGGCAGCAGUGGGGAAUUUUGGACAAGGGGCGCAAGCCUGAUCCAGCAAUGCCGCGUGCAGGAUGAAGGCCUUCGGGUUGUAAACUGCUUUUGUACGGAACGAGAAGCCCUGGGUUAAUACCCUGGGGUCAUGACGGUACCGUAAGAAUAAGCACCGGCUAACUACGUGCCAGCCGCCGCCGUAA